rnacentral:rRNA from 1 species
CCUACGGGAGGCAGCAGUGAGGAAUAUUGGUCAAUGGCCGGAAGGCUGAACCAGCCAAGCCGCGUGAAGGACGAAGGUGCCAAGCAUUGUAAACUUCUUUUGUCAAGGGACAAAAUCAGGCUCGAGAGCCUGACCGAGGGUACUUGAAGAAAAAGCAUCGGCUAACUCCGUGCCAGCAGCCGCGGUAAUCCGGGGGAUGCGAGCGUUAUCCGGAUUUAUUGGGUUUAAAGGGUGCGUAGGCGGGCUGUUAAGUCAGCGGUAAAAGCCCGGGGCUCAACCCCGGCGAGCCGUUGAAACUGGCUGUCUUGAGAUGUCGAGAGGUAGGCGGAAUGCGCAGUGUAGCGGUGAAAGGCUUAGAUAUUGCGAAGAACUCCGAUUGCGAAGGCAGCAUACCGGCGGCGAUCUGACGCUGAGGCACGAAAGCGUGGGUAUCGAACAGGAUUAGAUACCCCAGCAGUC